AUUUUAACCUUGAGAUGGAUUAGGGUUGUCAGAUGACACAAAACUGUCAUGUAGGACUAAUGUUAUGAAAACAAGAGCUGGAAAUACUGUUUUAGUGUAGCUGACAACGGGGAUUUAUCCUGAAAGAGACCUGGAUGUGUGUGGGUUUUUUUUGUCUUUUUAAAUCAAACUCUUGAGUGCAUAUGUAGCCUGAAUGCUUUGCAAGGUUAUUGAUUAUGUAUAUUAAGUCAGAGAGACAGCUUUUUCUUGAGGAGAUUUGUUUUCUCAUCCACUAAACACAGUAGUCCUCAGAACAUGGAUACUCUGUUUCAGAAAAGUGAUUUUUUUUUUUUUUGCAAGAUAAGGAGAGAAUUAACUUACAUUAUAAUUAUAUAUCUCUGAACUGUACUUCAAGAAGCAUGCUUGUCUUGGAAGUUAUUUUCAAACAAUAAUGAAGCUUUGUAGCUAAAACUCAUUUAGCAUGAUCCGAUGGGGCAAUGUUCAAAGGAUCUCAAAGGGGAGAUGACACUGAAUUUGCUCUCAUCUGUUUUAGAGGACAAAGACACCUUGGCAGUAUAAGUUACGGGUCUAAUUUAUUGUUCAAUUAACUGCCAGACAGUUGUUUGCAGCCAGAUGUUGUGUGGCUGGUCAGUAGAGACCACAAUGAGGGAAAAAGGGGUUGUGAACGUGUCAAAAAUAUUUCUGGGCCUAAAUUUUUUUUUAAUUAUCAAAAUGGUUUUCUAUGUGUUUUAGCUUUUUUUUUUUUUGUAGUAACAUCCCAUUUUGUUUUAGAAAUAUUGUCCAUGACCAAUAGUUACAAGGUCUUGUCCUUCAGAGCAGAACUAAGUGGCUUGACCGUAUCCUUAUCUAGUGGAAAUCAGCAUCCCACCAUUGAUGUACUUUUUUUCCUGGCAGCUUGGGCAGUUGUUCCUCCCCUUGUUCUGCUCGGAAGUGAGAAGGUGGUUCAGCAGCUAAUGGCACUGGGCUGCACGGUCUUCCCGAGGCCUCCCUCCCUCCCAGGUUGAAGUGCCGUUGCACCAAUGAGCCUGUUAGACUACACAAACACACAAAAAGUGUGGUCUCCUUCCCACAGACUGUACAACACACAUGAACGUUGAAUGAGUGGUCUAUCCUAUAACCACAUUCAACCCACCUCCAGCCUUGGAUUCAUGGGUUCCCAGAAGGUAAACUCGGGGCAGGGGCCAGGGGGGGUAAUGGGAAGAGGGCAGUGGUCUGGCCCUGAAGUAGUUGUCUUAGCACUCAUCUGUCAUCUGACUGGAAAGCAGAUAGUUACCAAAUUUUCCUUUUGCUCUUAAAAACAGUGUGAGGAAGCACCAAGCUACACCAGAGCACCCUAUUCUUUUUCAGUGAACUGUGAAGUAACUGAGUGAGAGAACCAUUAUCUCUUUCCUGUACAGGCAUGUCCAAGCCCCUGUGCCUCUGGUCAUACUUGCAGUUUUCUAUGAUGGAUGUGCAUUUUUUUGUGCAAAUCAGCUGUUUUCUGAGGAGCUGAAUUCAAACAUAGCUGUUUCUUGAUAUCAAAGAAUGAAACCAAUAUGCAAGUGACCUUUUGUACUAGAAGCAUUACUGUGGUGGAGAGUAAGAUGCAGCUGUACUUUUUUGAUAGUUUUCCCUUCAGGAACCAGAUCAAACAAAACGUGACAAACCAGUAUUUAUGUGUGUGUGUGUGUGGGGGGGGGGGGUUCCAUACUCUUUACUCUCUGCAGUUUUAAGGAACAACAGCAAUAUGGUCUUUUUCAGACUAGUUGCUGUAUAGCUAGGUUUGGGAAGCAGAUGGAGGUGCAAAAGGUAUCCAAGGAAGGAACUGCUUACAUGAACCAAAAAUGUAAACUAGCUACAAGAGAGAAUGUUUAUCUCCAGUUUUAUUGAGGACAGUUAACAGAAGAACCACCUGGAGACCAGAUGGGGACUCUGGAUACCCCCAGGUGUCCUUUCCCAAACAGAAGCACAAACUUUUCUGGCUCCGCCUUCAGGAUUGCAGGAAUUCUCUGCCUGCAUCUCUUCUAGGAAAGGGGAGGGGGACAUGGCAGAGCUGGGGAGCUCCUUGCCACAUCACAUCUGCGGCGUGGGAGCACAAGGCACUACGGAGCUGCCUUUUGUAGAGGCUGUGCACAUCACUACAUUUGACUAGGUUUGGUGGCUGAACAAAGAAUGGGAAAUGAAAUGGCAAAAUAUUAUGUGGGAGAAUACAUGGGUAAAUGAUUUUUAAAUUUAUUUCCAGGAAUUUUCUUGGUCACAAAAUACAUUUAGAGAAAGAGCUAACACCUUUUUUUUUUUUUUUUUUGACUGUUGUCAUCUCCUCUGUAUUUUUUAUUGAUGCUCCCUUUUGGAUGAAUAAACAGUAAGUUGGAAAUAUUUUACCUGCCUGUACUUAUGCCUCCUUAGUUCCUAGUGCAAAUCUGAAUGAUGAAUCACUGCCAAACCGUAUCGGGAGAGUAAGGUUAAAAGGAAGGUAAGAACAUGUUUAUGCAAGGAAUGAUGGCAGUGUUGUGGUCCUGUGGUUGCUCAUGAUGCUGCAUUGAGGCAAUAAUACAGAGCAACAGACUGGCCUGUACUGCAGCGCUGAACACCUUCUACUUCUUUGGCUUCAGUAAGGAGGAGUGGGGGAAGUUUUCUACAGCUGGCAUGCAGCUACUGCAAGGAUUAGGUCUGCAGCGGUUUAUAUAAACGUAAGACAAGGUAAACUGUGACUUUAAACUUAAGACAUUAACCCAGUAUGUAUGGCUCAGUAUAUAUAUGAGCUUUAGGCUUGAGGCCUAACAAUUAAAUCCUUAAGAUAAAUUCUUACAAAUUAAAUAAAAGGUAAUAAAAUACGACAGCAAGUUAAAACUUUGAUGGAUGGAAAUUAUUAAAAGCAUCUCUAUCUGCCAUCGUUAAUGCAAUGAUUCAAAAAAAUUUUUGGAGCAACUCGAUAGGAAAAUCAAAACUGGCUUGUCAGGUCUUUCAGAAGAUUGGCUCUGAACCUGGAAAAUCUUACUCAUGCCGGCAGAGUAUCACAAGCUGCAUCUGUGGCAUCAAGACUGCAUAGGCCUCAAGCUCUCAUUCAAACCUUUCCCUGAGUGAAAAUGCUGAUUAGAGGAUGGCUCAUGGUUUACAUCUGACCUCUAGCCUACGGACAGUCUGCACAAAACUAUGCAGUGCUAUUUGAUCAAUAAUAGUUUCCCAGAAUGAAAACUCUCCUGUAGCUGCCCUGCUGAUUAAAGACAAUGUGUAAAUUCCUGGUGUCUUUACCUAAUGCAGAAUGGAUUGCAUUGUUGCUACCUAUGGCGACAAACAGGAAUGUGAAACUUGAUAGUGAACAAUGUCUGAUCAGAAACUGGGAAAAGAUAGAGGAAUACUGAGCCCUCAAGAGAAGAUGGGCAUCUGGAUAGACAAUAGAGUUGAAGAGCAUUUUUUGCAGAAAUUGUCAGAAGCAAACAUUGACGUGGAUGUGUCACUGAUGCUGCUACCUCAGUUUUCUAUUUCUGAACUUGGGGCUCCAUUGCCUUCAGAUCUGGACACCAAAAAAACUCUCCUGACGUCAUCCUAACAGUGGCUUGUGAGGCAGAGAAGAGUAGUAAUUCCCUUUCUACAGAAAAACCAUUUCUACAAAAAGCAUAAUCUCUCAGCAGUGAGAGAUUAACUGCCAACGUGACAAAAGAAGUAUAAGGCAGGACCAGAAACUCAGACCAAGUCCCUGACCACUCAGAUUAAUGCCUUUACCACAGGACUAUUCUCCUCAGAGACCUCUUCACCACACCAAAAUCCCAACAAUGGGCUUUUCUGUUUGCACUUCUUACAGCGAAAUGCUGAAAAAUGCUCAUCUAAAACUCUCGGAAAGGCCUUGAUCUUCAUUCCUUUUUGCCUGAAAUAUCAUAGUAGUCUUCUGUCUCCUCAUCAACUGUAUAAACAGCUGCCCCUGCGGUAGGCUGGAUAAUAAGGAAAAUCCUCCCAGCAGGCACAACAGCACAGAAUCUUUCCAGUGUUUUGCACGUCCUCUCUCCCUGUGACCAACGGGAAGAACUAAAACAAAAGAGGCCUAAUAAAUGCUAGCUGUCACUAGGAUGUAUUAGGGGCAAUUGCUCCUGGUGGCAACAGUCUGUUUUCACACUCCUCUUUCCUGCUGUGGCAGCAGGAGCAUGUGUUCAGCCAUCUUCUGGUCCUCUUUGGAGAACUUACUAUAAGGACAAGAUCCAACUAGAUCAACCUUCUCUCAGGCUGAAUCAUGACUUUACUACAGCUUCUCUAAAAUAAAUUCAGUUGUUUUCACUGUUCCAAGAUAUAGCACCAAUGUAAAGCCAGCAUAUUAAACCUGAAAUUUAAGCAGAAUUUAAUCCCUAACUCAUGUUGCCUUAUUGAGAAUUAAGGACUCAAUUCUUUAAAGUAUUUUGUUCAAAGCAAGUGUAACGUCAUUGUUUUAUCAGUGCAAAUCCAUUUCACUGGUCCUUUCCAGCCCCACUUAAGUCAAGGGGAAACUUCCUAUCAACUCUGUUUGGAGCUCUCUCAAACCCUGGGAAGAGAGUGGAAGUUUUCUCUGCCUGUUUUGUUCAUGCUUGAAUCACAUAUUUUCAGGGCAGGGACACAUGCUUGUUUUUUUAGUGAUUAUGUAUUCAUUGCCUGCAAAACCCAAAGCUUAUUGGUGGACUUAAUAUAGAUGUAACAAUUCAUGAAUAAGUCUAUAAAAAGUCUAUGCGUUCCUUUUGGUUUGAUGCUAAAUGUUUAUGCCUGUGGCAUUGUAAAUACAAUUUCAGUGGGUAACUGAGAAACAUACAGCAUGCUUUAGAAAGAAAAAGGUUUGUUAUUUGAACACUAGUGUUAGCACAGAGUUCGGAUAAUUAUGUCUAACAAUUUCCUAUGUUUAAUACAGUGUUUUUCUGCAAUAGCAUCUCUUAUCUCACAGCUGCCUGGAAGGAGAAGUUUUGGGGGAGAACAUUUGGGAGAAAGGCUUCUAGAAGCACACUCUUGCAAAGAAUGACAUCUUUGUCUUCUUUCCUAGUAUAUCUGUUAAGCGUGGAUAAAAUUCGAUAGUAGUAUUGGCAUUAACAGAAGCUUUAACAAAAUAAAAACUGAUUUUCUUUUGCCAAUCAAAAACUGCAUUUGCAAGGAGUGGAUUUUUAUCUGCACUGACAUCUGAAUACAACAAAGAAAUCUGAUUGAACUUCAGAGAUGAAAAGCAGCAGCAUAUGUAUCCCUAGGGUCAGACAGGGAAAACAACAUGUGAAGUGUCCGGUGGGAGUAAAAUGCAUAGGCCACUCUAAUAGUAUCAACGACAAGAAUGCAAUAGAGGCAGCAGCAAAUCUUCCUGGACAGAGUUAGAGUUAUAUAUCCUGAAAAGAGCUAAGAUGUUUCCCAGAUCAUCUUCAAAGGUGAACUUUGGAAACUGCCCACUGCCUUUUGCCAGCAUGAUGGGAUGUGCUGCUAAAAUGCCUCCUUUUCUUUCUGCACUUAGGACAUAGCAACAAAUAUGAAUUAACAUUUUGUUUGGCAUGUAAGAACUAUGAAGGCUGCUGCACAGUAGAAGAUGCUGCAUAAACACGGGGAGUCUGACAUGAUGAUAAGACAUCAAUGAUUCUUUUUGACAUGACUCUAUGACAAGUGAAAGUAUUUUUAUAUAGUGAUGCAUACUUAGGGGAGCAUGCAAACGCACGCAGAGAAAGAUCACUAAGACUACAACAAAGCAAGGCAACAGGAACCCAGAGAUGAUUUGAACUGUAGCCAUGAAACACGGACUUCACCCUCCUAAAAUGAUGGCACUAUUUUCACCUUGUAUCUUGAUUAAAGGACAUCUAACAUAAUCCAAAUCUAAUGAUAAUUUAAUCUAGAUUAGGAAGUUUCUUUCUGUUAUUUGAUAUUUGCUGUUAAAACACUGAUGGGGAAAGGGAAAGUACUAAUGUUUUUUCAUUGAAAAGGAAGGGAAUGUUUGGUCAUAGAAAAAAAUACGCAAGAAAGAUACAGCAAGAAUGAACAAGAUAUGAGAAGGGUGAGCUGACACAGAAAUCAUAGUCACAGACUGUCAAAGCACCAGACUGCAUAAAAAAAAUUUGGAUUAAGCCACUCAGCACUCUCAAACGGAACCUUUUUAGAGGACCACAUAAUUGGUUCAGUCUCUUUUCUUUACCCUCAUGUACUACCUUGCAACAGCCAAGAAUAAAAAAAAGAAGAGCUGGCAAAGUCACAGCAGGAGACUUGUACUUGUGAUAGAGCAGAAAAAUGUUUUAUUCACUGAAAAAUGCAAUUUCAGUUGUCUGAAGUUAUUGUAAAUUCAUGCUGAAGUAAUGGCUAACAGGCCGAGUCAAAAUACAUUGAAAUAUGCUUGUUUUAAAAUAAAAAUUCAUUUUGACAUUUUCAAAAUGAAAUAUUUUGAUAUUCUAUUUUGAAGCAGUAUUUUGUUUCAAAUCUGCUUAGUUCAAAAUAAUAACAAUGAGAAGAAAGACUGAAGAACUAAAACUAAUAUAUUUCAUUUUGAAGUGGACAAAGUAAUUAUGUCAAUGACAUUAUUAUUUUGGUUUGAUCAUGAAUCCAAAAUAUCAGUUGUCCCAGCAGUUUUAAUUCUGACAUGCUUAGUCCUGCUUUAUUUAACCAUCUUCCCAGGUAUGGCUAUGUCAAAGUGCUGUAUGCUAUUUAUUAAGAAAUCGUAUGUGAAGAGGGACUGCAAUUAAAAUGAGAAAAUAAAAAGGACGCAAUCAUAACUGCUUUUGCUGAUCUUUUCACUGACAGACAGUAGGAAAUGAACCCUGAAUCUCCACUCUUAAAUAAUUUACAGUGUGCAAUAGAAGCUUUAUUUCAGAAUAUGCAAGUGCUCAUGGUGCCAAAAUGCUGCAACGACCCCCUAAGGAUGAAAUCAACAAGAAAAGAUGGAGAGAAAGAAGACUAAAAGCUGCAUCCUUUGUUUAUAAGCUGAAUCCCUGCUGUGAAAAACAGAGCAAGGAAAAAUACAGGAUCUCAUUUUUCUGUAAGAUUGCCCUUUCUUAACUGUGACUUUCUGACCAGAUCUUCUAAGAAAUUACAAGUGUACUGGCUCUUCUGGGGGAUAAGUCUUACUUCGUAGAGAUAAGGAAAGGAAAAGCUAUUGAGUAUAGAUUUGGCUAAGGAGUGUUUCUGACUGCUCAAGAACUGAAUGGGCAAGCAUGUUAAGGGAAAGGGCCAGUGCUUGGAUUUGGGUCUUUGUUACAAACCCUUAUGAAGUCUAAUAGCUGAGACAAAGUUAAGCAAUUAAACCUGGAAAAUGCAUUUUCUCUAAAAUUGCACCACAUGAGAAUUAGUUAUGUGUCCUUCUGCAUGCCUAUGACAUAUUCCUGUAGACGUUUUCCUGGCUUGGAUGAAGCUGAAAGCACACUGGUAACCGGAGGUGGCCCUGAAGUCUCCAAACAGGAUGCCAACAUUCUCGCUACAACUGACUGGAACAAGAAGCUAAUUUAAUUAUGAACUGCUGCUCCUAAUGCAAUCAGAUCAUCGAUCUGAUUUUUCAUUUAAUUUUUCUAUUAUUCCUGAUGUAAGGUCAUGUUUUAUAGGGGAAAAUUUUGUUUUCUUUUUUCAAACCUCCCUCUUGUCCAUGUAUCCCUUAUUCUAACAGUAGCUGAGUGAGUCAAGGUGUCCACCAGUUCUCUGUAACAACUGAACAUGUGAUGUUUAUGUAAACAGAUUGGGCAUGUGAUGUCCUGUUCUGUAUUUCUCUUCUAGCUAUCACUGAUUAUUAAUAGCACUCGAAAAAGAAAAGGAGAAAGAAAAAAUGUUAUGAGAUGGCAUGCUAAUUCAGUCUUCACCUAGGACAGCAGCUGUCUGUGUCAUAUAUCCUACAUGUGUGUCUCACUUUGAGGUGUGUUUCAGAAGUAAAUGAAAUUUGAAAAAUUAGAAGGGAACUAUUUAGGGGAAAGCAAAAUCAGUAAGAUCACAAGAAAACGUCAUCUGUCUGCUUUCGUCCCUUGCCCUCUGCCACUAACGAAGGCAGAAUCAACAUAGCAAGAAAUUGGAUUUCUUGACCCUGCUCCCUUUCAAGUCAGUGACAAAAUUCCCAUCAAUUUCUACAGAAGUAGGCUUAGAUUUUUCAUCUGCAGUGUCUACUUCACAGCAGAACAGUAUAUGUCGUCUCAGCAGCACACCAUUGUGCUGCCAAAAUUCACUGAGAUGCUUUGCACUGUCAUUCAACAAAGUGAGUUGGGCUCACCUAAACUUUGCUAACAGCCAAAUGUGUAUAGACUGGCUGCUUUCAACGUACUAGAUUUUAAGCCUUUCCUUCUUUUCCCCUUCUACUCUCCUAAAAUACAUGAUAUUCUCUGGACAUUCUUGGUAAAACAAGCAAGAUCUUUAAGGAUAUCCUAUGUAUUGACAGAGUUCUCAAAUUGCUAGAGGGAAUGUCAUUCACCUUUCUAAUAUCAUCCAAGACCUUGUAUAUAUGCAAGUGUUGCAUGAGCUUAAGUGACUCAACCUUAAAUCAAUCAUGUUAGAACAGGGCAAACUCCCCCACUAAAUGUGUUUGAACAAGUUUUAAUCUCCCUUAAACUGAUUUAGCUUGUGGCCUUUUGCAAAUUAAGCCAAGCAAUUUAAAUAAGUGAUAAACUGGAUAAAGUGCAUCACAUGAAGAGGCAUGCACAAGAUUUCACUUGCUCAAUUUAAAAUUGAUUUUGUUAAGCUGAUGCAACUUCUCUUGUACAGGCAAUAGUAAAGAAUAGACACUUCACACACAAAUAGGAGCUUCUUAGAAAGAUUGCAUCUCAUGAAUAUAGAAAAUUCCAAUUAACUUCAUACAUAAGUAUACCAAGGUAUCUACAUAACUUUACUGUCUGAAAGAAAGAGCAGGAUAUGAAUAGUGGUAAACUGAUCUGAACUGGUACUUCCACAUGCAGUCUGGGGAAGGGUAAACACGGCUCACGCCGAGUAUCCUCUUUAUCUCAGAUUUGUUUUAAAAUGAAAGAAAUGCGUUCAAAGACGGACGGGCUUGCAGUUAAGGCAGUCAUCUGGAGCCCAUUUCUAUCCUUACCACAAGUUUAUUUUACUAGGGAUGCCAUGUAGGGUCAGAUUCAAAACAGCUCCUUUGGAUGCUCAACUGUUCUUGGCCCUAGCAAUUUGACCCCCACAGCUUUCGGAUGGAAAGCCCAAAUGCUGUGACGUGGGCUGCUGACAGCUAGCCAAAGGCAGCUGGCUCGACUCCCACCCCGUGCUCAGGAAUUUAAGACCUCGAAUCAAAGCUGCUCCUGAGGUGCUGCCAUCUACAUUGGAUUCAUACUACAGUCCUCCUCUCAAGGAAUGAGAACCAUUCUCAUGAGAGGAACCAGCUAAGAAAAACAGUCUUGGGAAGAGACAGGAAAGGCAUCUAACUUUUGCUCUAGGUGCCUAUGGCAAGAACAUUUUAACUGGGAGAGAGUGCCCUGGAUUUUGUCUUGGCUUCGAAGAGUGACAAUCCUUUUACAUUAGAUGGCCACUGGAUAACAAAGGAAUCAAAAGAAAAUCCAGAGCACAAGGACUACAAUGCAUAUCUCCCAUUCUGAGCUGAAACCAACCAGUGUUCAGAAACUGAUGCACCCAGGAUUAAGAGGUGGACUUGCAGUGCUUUUUUAUACCAAAAUAGAUCUGUAAAGGAUGCAGAUGCCAGAAACCAAAGACAUGAUGGUGUUUACCACCCAAGACCAAAAUGAUUUCAAAUGAGGCCUUGUUUAGCUGCUACUGCAAUCACAAAACAUCUUCCUAUCUGAAUCCACAGCAUCCUAACACUCUGCUUCUGUGCACAAUACUUCCGCAGAGUGGGCAACCUGGCAUGUACCAGUAGGUCAGUGUUUGAAGGCCUGAAAAGAUAUUUACGUAUGGAGCAUUGACUUAUUGUCAGUGUAACAGAUGUUCCUCAUUCUAGAGUUCUCAGUCUAAAUAAAGGAGAUAACAUUUUUUCCCCCAACCUCUCUUUAUCUCCAUUUUAUAGAAUAAGCUCCAAGAGCUUGCUAUAUCUUUCUUAGUUUAUGUUCUUCUGUUUUAAAUGAACAUCCUGAAGAAGUCAUUAUAUUUGAGGUAGACCUUGACAAUGAGACAAUGCAUUUACCCAGAGAAAAAACAGACAUACCGAGCCAGAAAGAAAGGUGAUGCACCAGGUUAUUUGUAUCAGGUUCAGCAUUUCACAUUAUUGUACUUCAUUGAGAGCGAUAAUAGAUCCUGCUAAUGCCCUGCACUUCCAAAGUAAGUUUUCGGACCCUUCCAGCAGUUGCAUGCACUGCCAUCCUGGAAAACAUAUCUCAGUUUAUUUUGACAGGGACCACUUUCCCUCAGCCAUAAAUGUCUCAAUAAUCCUUCGUGAAUGGCUGAAGUUACUGAAACCUCCUGCACUGCAGUAAUAUAUUCCUUCCUCUAACAGACAGGCUUGUUUUCUGAAGGUUUAUUGAAAAAUGAAAGUCUCAUAUAAAAUGUAUUUCAGAUCAUUUAACUUUUCUAUCUCCUUUUAUAAUCCAAUGAAUUUUAUUCAUUUUAGUAAUCUCCUUCUGGGCCUAAGUACUGUGGGGCUGAGAUUAAAAUACAGUGCAUAUGAAUCUGGGUUCAUAAAAGAAAUUAAGUCUCUUCUUGCUUAUGAGGUUGCAGUCACUUGAAUCAGCCAACGCAGCUGAGAAAUGGAUGAGAGUAAACUGCCUGCUAACUGAUUUUUAUUCUUCGGUGUCUACACAAAUCAUGUUCAGAUGGUUCAGCUACUAUCAAAAUUAGGGUUGAUAAAGCUGACACCUUUCUGCAGGGAAUUCUUUCUUGAGACAUGAAACUGAAGCCCGUAUCAGUAUUUCUAUAGCACUAUCAGCUGAUCAGAUCAGUGACAAGGUUUAGCAGCAAGCUGACGUCCACAGCAGUUUCUCCUUGCUCUAUUUCCGCAGAGAUGGUGCAGUAGUGUAAGCACAGAUGUGGUUGAUGGUGAUGUGCUGCCCUAGGCAAAUACCAGAGAUCUCUGAAGAGAUAAGGUACUUGUCCUUUGAUGCAUGUGGCCUCCACUGAAGCAGUGCAACUGUGGCCCAGCAUAGUAAAAGUGAAAACCUC